CAAGUUAAAUUCUAGGAAUACCAUUAUUUACAUUAAUGUUUUGGUUUGUGCAAUUCAACCUGACUUGA
rnacentral:tRNA from 2 species